GUAUCCGGCCUGAGAGGGUGAUCGGACACACUGGAACUGAGACACGGUCCAGACUCCUACGGGAGGCAGCAGUAGGGAAUAUUGCUCAAUGGGGGAAACCCUGAAGCAGCAACGCCGCGUGGAGGAUGAAGGUUUUAGGAUUGUAAACUCCUUUUGUUAGAGAAGAUAAUGACGGUAUCUAACGAAUAAGCACCGGCUAACUCCGUGCCAGCAGCCGCGGUAAUACGGAGGGUGCAAGCGUUACUCGGAAUCACUGGGCGUAAAGAGCGCGUAGGCGGGAUAGUCAGUCAGGUGUGAAAUCCUAUGGCUUAACCAUAGAACUGCAUUUGAAACUGCUAUUCUAGAGUGUG
rnacentral:rRNA from 1 species